GCCCUCGUGGUGAAACGGAUAUCACACCUGACUUCGGAUCAGGCGGUCCGGGUUCGAUUCCUGGCGAGGGCA
rnacentral:tRNA from 1 species